rnacentral:rRNA from 1 species
GACGAACGCUGGCGGCGUGCCUAAUACAUGCAAGUCGGACGCUGUUGCGAACGGGUGGGUAACGCGUAGGUAACUAACUAUUAGAGGGGGAUAAAUAUUGGAAACGAUCGCUAAUACCGCAUACUAGUAGCUGGACCUGCGUUGUAUUUGCUAGUAGGUAGGGUAAUGGCCUAUCUAGGCAAUGAUACAUAGCCGACCUGUGAGGGUGAUCGGCCACACUGUGACUCAGACACGGCGCAGACUCCUACGGGAGGCAGCAGUAGGGAAUCUUCGGCAAUGGGGGGAAACCUGACCGGGCGACGCCGCGUGAGUGUGGAAAAUUUUCGGAUCGUGAAGCUCUGUUGUAUAGGGAACGGUACUUAACCAGAAAGGGACGGCUAACUACGUGCCAGCAGCCGCGGUAAUAC